CAGCGUCACGAGUGGCAACCAUAUUUAUUGGGCCUAAAGCGUCCGUAGCCUGUUUGAUAAGUCUUUUGUGAAAUCGUUGAGCUCAACUUAACGUCGUGCAAGAGAUACUGUCAGACUUGGAAUUGGGAAGAGUUAGAGGUAUUCUGGGGGGAGCGGUAAAAUGCUAUAAUCCCCGGAGGACCACCAGUGGCGAAAGCGUCUAACUAGAACAACUUCGACGGUGAGGGACGAAAGCCAGGGGAGCAAAACGGAUUAGAUACCCGAGUAGUCC
rnacentral:rRNA from 1 species